rnacentral:pre_miRNA from 1 species
UCUUCAUUUCACGUGCUCUCUCACCGGCCAGAGAGGCGAGAGAGAGAGAGUGCGAAAUGAAGAGA